CUCUGCCCAUCCCCACGCAUGUGCACUGUCUCCCUCUCUCCCCCUCUCUCUUUCUCUCUAAAAUAAGUCUUUUUUUUUUUUUAAGAAAGAAUAGAAUCCUUUCAGAAACUUUCAUGUGGAGUUAUUCUAGGGUGUGAAAUAUAAAAUUAAGAAAACAUGAUAUUUUAGUAGAUGUCCACAAUAGAAAGUGUAAAGCAACUCUCUUAAGGACUUGGCAUUGGAAACAUGCUGCUCCAUUUUCACCAUUUCUCCAAGGAUUCUUUGGAGAGCACAGCCAUCAUUUAAAUCAUCGUUCUUGCAUUAGAAAGAUUCUUGCUUUUCUCCUGUUCUCGAUGGAUCCUACUGAGAAGGCAGCCAUCUUUUAAGUCAUCUUUGUGGGACAGGUCAUGUUCCUAGGGUCCUGGGAUUGAACCCCGCAUCUGUCUCCCUGCUCAGUGGGGAACCUGCAUUUCCCUCUGCCUUCUGCUCCUCCUGCUUGUGUG
rnacentral:lncRNA from 1 species